CAGAUGAGGUAGACUCUUUUGAGCAACACGUUGACAACCUAUUUGCUGCAUCGGAGGCUCAGAAGUGCAAGGGACGCAAGACCACUGAAUUUUGGGAUAAUCUAAUAGCACAAUCAAACAAGCUCGUUUGAGUGUGAAGGAAGCUAUGAAGCCACCUAACGGUAGAAAGAUCGUACUCAAGUUCCACGAAAACCUGCAACUAAUUGAGCUUA